UGGCGAGGCAGCGGCGUCAGGGAGGCCAUCUUGACUGAGGGUGCCAGGUGUAGCGUUGGAAUGGCGACAAACGGGGUGCCCUUACUUAAUACAGGGGAGGCGUUGCCUUCCCGCACCGGCCGGCGAGCACGGGAUAUUUCAACAGACCCUGGCAGUGGAAGAAGAUUCAAUGGAAUUGCCAUUGGGCUAUUGUAGAGUGUGGAUCCAUCCCUUCUUCCCUUCCAUGGAAAGGACAGAAGGAAUUGGCUGACAGAUAUGGAGCAGAACUGUGGCAGAAAAGGUAUGUUUUCUACUAAAGCAUCUAACAGUGGAGAGCAAUGUUCCAGGUCCAAAACAAAGCAAAACAAGAUGCUGUCUGAGCUGGACAUUAAUAUUGCCUUCCCAGAUCCUAACAUAAGGCAAGUUGUGUGCUCUGCAGGGGUUAAAUUUGCUUGUGUAAAAUCUGAACAUGGAACAGAGAGGUCACAAAUACAGUGGGAAUAAAAAAGCUGUAAAAUGCUACCUAUGUUUAUGUGCUAAAGUGUAUGAAAUUCAAAUUACUACUGUUGUUAACGUCCUCAGACCCAGAACUUGGUCUCCAAGUACUAUCAGUAAGAGGCAAAGCAGAUUUGCUCUUCUGGAGUUGCUAGUUCAUCCUUCAUUUUACAUCUUCCUUACAUUGCCAUGUCUCAAAAGCAAAGCACAGUGCCUUACGGGGACCCAGGACUUCAAGACUAUGCUGCACCCAUUCUACUAGCAUUAAUUAAAAUGUUGCACAACUAUUGUGAGUUUGCAAGAGGAGCAAAAUCUUAAAGCCCUGUGUUUCUAGACCAAAUGACUAAAGUAAAGGCUUUCCCAUUCUUCUGUUUUCCUGAAAUACUCACAAAGCUUGCUCAAAAAGCAAGAGAGAGAGGAAAAAACACAGGCUACCUCCAUAAGCCCCAACUUGUUUUUUGUUUAACUACUGAAAGAGGAGAAUGCUUUGAGCUCUGCUUCCCCUCCUCCCCACUCCCCCCCAGGAUCUCCUGAAAAGCGGGUGAAGUGCAAUAAUUAAC